rnacentral:rRNA from 1 species
GACGAACGCUGGCGGCGUGCUUAACACAUGCAAGUCGAACGGAAAGGCCCUGCUUUUGUGGGGUGCUCGAGUGGCGAACGGGUGAGUAACACGUGAGUAACCUGCCCUUGACUUUGGGAUAACUUCAGGAAACUGGGGCUAAUACCGGAUAGGAGCUCCUGCUGCAUGGUGGGGGUUGGAAAGUUUCGGCGGUUGGGGAUGGACUCGCGGCUUAUCAGCUUGUUGGUGGGGUAGUGGCUUACCAAGGCUUUGACGGGUAGCCGGCCUGAGAGGGUGACCGGCCCCAUUGGCUGGGAGGACGGCACCGGCCGGAAUCGGGCGGGAGGGAGGGGGAAGUUAGACAACGGGGCGGCGGCAGUAGGGAGGAAGCCCGGGUGGGGGAAGGCGGUCGUGGGUUUGUAAGCACAUUUCGCUUGGCAGGGAGGGGGGUGACGGUAAAUGACUAAAAAGACACGGGUAAAUACGUG